GAUGAACGCUGGCGGCGUGCCUAAUACAUGCAAGUCGAGCGAACAGAUGAGGAGCUUGCUCCUCUGACGUUAGCGGCGGACGGGUGAGUAACACGUGGAUAACCUACCUAUAAGACUGGGAUAACUUCGGGAAACCGGAGCUAAUACCGGAUAAUAUAUUGAACCGCAUGGUUCAAUAGUGAAAGACGGUUUUACUGUCACUUAUAGAUGGAUCCGCGCCGCAUUAGCUAGUUGGUAAGGUAACGGCUUACCAAGGCAACGAUGCGUAGCCGACCUAAGAGGGUGAUCGGCCACACUGGAACUGAGACACGGUCCAGACUCCUACGGGAGGCAGCAGUAGGGAAUCUUCCGCAAUGGGCGAAAGCCUGACGGAGCAACGCCGCGUGAGUGAUGAAGGUCUUCGGAUCGUAAAACUCUGUUAUUAGGGAAGAACAAAUGUGUAAGUAACUAUGCACGUCUUGACGGUACCUAAUCAGAAAGCCACGGCUAACUACGUG
rnacentral:rRNA from 1 species